GCUUGACACUGAACAUUGAGCCUUGAUGUGUAGGAUAGGUGGGAGGCUUUGAAGCGUGGACGCCAGUCUGCGUGGAGCCAUCCUUGAAAUACCACCCUUUAAUGUUUGAUGUUCUAACUCGGCCCCGUAAUCCGGGGUGAGGACAGUGUCUGGUGGGUAGUUUGACUGGGGCGGUCUCCUCCCAAAGAGUAACGGAGGAGCACGAAGGUUAGCUAAUCACGGUCGGACAUCGUGAGGUUAGUGCAAAGGCAUAAGCU
rnacentral:rRNA from 1 species